rnacentral:rRNA from 1 species
GACGAACGCUGGCGGCGUGCUUAACACAUGCAAGUCGAACGGAAAGGCCCUGCUUGCAGGGUGCUCGAGUGGCGAACGGGUGAGUAACACGUGGGUGAUCUGCCCCUUACUUUGGGAUAAGCCUGGGAAACUGGGUCUAAUACUGGAUAGGACCAUGCUGUAGGUGGUGUGGUGGAAAGAUUAGUUUCGGUGAGGGAUGAGCUCGCGGCCUAUCAGCUUGUUGGUGGGGUAAUGGCCUACCAAGGCGUCGACGGGUAGCCGGCCUGAGAGGGUGGACGGCGACAUUGGGACUGAGAUACGGCCCAGACGCCUACGGGAGGCAGCAGUGGGGAAUAUUGCACAAUGGGGGCAAGCCUGAUGCAGCGACGCCGCGUGGGGGAUGACGGCCUUCGGGUUGUAAACUCCUUUCAGCCAUGACGAAGCCCUUGUGGUGACGGUAGUGGUAGAAGAAGCACCGGCUAACUACGUG